AACGAACGCUGGCGGCAUGCCUAACACAUGCAAGUCGAGCGCUCCCAGCAAUGGGGGAGCGGCGGACGGGUGAGUAACGCGUAGGAACGUAUCCUGAGGUGGGGGAUAACCCUGGGAAACUAGGGCUAAUACCGCAUGAUGGCGAGAGCCCAAAGAUUUAUCGCCUUGGGAGCGGCCUGCGUCUGAUUAGCUUGUUGGUGGGGUAACGGCCUACCAAGGCGAUGAUCAGUAGCUGGUCUGAGAGGAUGAUCAGCCACACUGGGACUGAGACACGGCCCAGACUCCUACGGGAGGCAGCAGUGGGGAAUAUUGGACAAUGGGCGAAAGCCUGAUCCAGCAAUGCCGCGUGGAUGAAGAAGGUCUUCGGAUUGUAAAGUCCUUUCGGCGGGACGAUGAUGACGGUACCCGCAGAAGAAGCCCCGGCUAACUUCGUG
rnacentral:rRNA from 1 species